GACGAACGCUGGCGGCGUGCCUAAUACAUGCAAGUCGAACGCUUCUUUCCUCCCGAGUGCUUGCACUCCAUUGGAAAGAGGAGUGGCGGACGGGUGAGUAACACGUGGGUAACCUACCCAUCAGAGGGGGAUGACACUUGGAAACAGGUGCUAAUACCGCAUAACAGUUUAUGCCGCAUGGCAUAAGAGUGAAAGGCGCUUUCGGGUGUCGCUGAUGGAUGGACCCGCGGUGCAUUAGCUAGUUGGUGAGGUAACGGCUCACCAAGGCCACGAUGCAUAGCCGACCUGAGAGGGUGAUCGGCCACACUGGGACUGAGACACGGCCCAGACUCCUACGGGAGGCAGCAGUAGGGAAUCUUCGGCAAUGGACGAAAGUCUGACCGAGCAACGCCGCGUGAGUGAAGAAGGUGUUCGGAUCGUAAAACUCUGUUGUUAGGGAAGAACAAGGACGUUAGUAACUGAACGUCCCCUGACGGUAUCUAACCAGAAAGCCACGGCUAACUACGUG
rnacentral:rRNA from 1 species